rnacentral:rRNA from 1 species
GACGAACGCUGGCGGCGUGCUUAACACAUGCAAGUCGAACGGAAAGGCCCUGCUUUUGUGGGGUGCUCGAGUGGCGAACGGGUGAGUAACACGUGAGUAACCUGCCCUUGACUUUGGGAUAACUUCAGGAAACUGGGGCUAAUACCGGAUAGGAGCUCCUGCUGCAUGGUGGGGGUUGGAAAGUUUCGGCGGUUGGGGAUGGACUCGCGGCUUAUCAGCUUGUUGGUGGGGUAGUGGCUUACCAAGGCUUUGACGGGUAGCCGGCCUGAGAGGGUGACCGGGCAAAAUGGGGAUGGGGAUACGCCCAGGACGCAACCGGGGGCAAGAGGUGGGAAUUAUGGCAAAAGGGGCGGAGGCUGGAUGAAGCACCGCCGGGUGGGGAAGGACGGCCUUCGGGUGGAAAACGGCUUUGGCCUGUAACGAGGCGUGAGGAACGGUAAUGGGAAAAAAGGCACCGCCUACUUACUG